rnacentral:rRNA from 1 species
AACGAACGCUGGCGGCAGGCUUAACACAUGCAAGUCGAACGCUUCAUCUUCGGGUGGGGAGUGGCAGACGGGUGAGUAACACGUGGGAACGUACCCUUCAGUUCGGAAUAACCCUGGGAAACUAGGGCUAAUACCGGAUACGGCCGAGAGGCGAAAGGUUUCUGCUGAGGGAUCGGCCCGCGUCCGAUUAGCUAGUUGGUGUGGUAAUGGCGCACCAAGGCGACGAUCGGUAGCUGGUCUGAGAGGAUGACCAGCCACAUUGGGACUGAGACACGGCCCAAACUCCUACGGGAGGCAGCAGUGGGGAAUAUUGGACAAUGGGCGCAAGCCUGAUCCAGCCAUGCCGCGUGAGUGAUGACGGCCUUAGGGUUGUAAAGCUCUUUUACCUGGGAAGAUAAUGACGGUACCAGGAGAAUAAGCCCCGGCUAACUUCGUGCCAGCCGCCGCGGUAAGAC